CGGUAAUACAGAGGGUGCAAGCGUUAAUCGGAAUUACUGGGCGUAAAGCGCGCGUAGGUGGUUCGUUAAGUUGGAUGUGAAAUCCCCGGGCUCAACCUGGGAACUGCAUCCAAAACUGGCGAGCUAGAGUAUGGUAGAGGGUGGUGGAAUUUCCUGUGUAGCGGUGAAAUGCGUAGAUAUAGGAAGGAACACCAGUGGCGAAGGCGACCACCUGGACUGAUACUGACACUGAGGUGCGAAAGCGUGGGGAGCAAACAGGAUU
rnacentral:rRNA from 1 species